GCAUCGAUGAAGAACGCAGCGAAAUGCGAUACGUAAUGUGAAUUGCAGAAUUCAGUGAAUCAUCGAAUCUUUGAACGCACCUUGCGCCCCUUGGCAUUCCGAGGGGCACACCCGUUUGAGUGUCGUGAAAUCUUCAAAACCCUUUUUUCUUUGAACCAUCGUGGUCGGGAAAAGGAUUUUUGGACUUGGAGGUUUAAUGCUCGCCCUUUCUUUCGAAAGCGAGCUCCUCUCAAAUGAAUCAGUGGGGUCCGCUUUGCUGAUCCUUGACGUGAUAAAAUGUUUCUACGUUUUGGGUUUAGCACUGUCCCUUGGACGCCUGCUCCUAACUGUCUCGUUGACAAUGAUGGUGCUCCGGUCACCGCCGUCUACAUCGGCGGGAGGCUGGACCCACGAAAAGAAAACCUUGACCUCAAAUCGGGUGAGACUACCCGCUGAACUUAA
rnacentral:rRNA from 1 species